rnacentral:rRNA from 1 species
GGGUGGGCACUUUAAGGAUACUGCCAGUGACAAACUGGAGGAAGGCGGGGACGACGUCAAGUCAUCAUGGCCCUUACGACCAGGGCUACACACGUGCUACAAUGGUUGGUACAAAGGGUUGCCUACACAGCGAUGUGAUGCUAAUCUCAUAAAGCCAAUCGUAGUCCGGAUUGCAGUCUGCAACUCGACUCCAUGAAGUCGGAAUCGCUAGUAAUCGCGGAUCAGAAUGCCGCGGUGAAUACGUUCCCGGGCCUUGUACACACCGCCCGUCACACCAUGGGAGUUUGUUGCUCCAGAAGUAGGUAGUCUAACCGUAAGGAGGACGCUUACCACGGAGUGACUCAUGACUGGGGUGAAGUCGUAACAAGGUAACCAAUC